rnacentral:rRNA from 1 species
ACGUAGGGGGCAAGCGUUGUCCGGAAUUAUUGGGCGUAAAGGGUGCGUAGGCGGCCGGUUAAGUCAGGGGUGAAAUUCCGGCGUUCAACUUGGGAAUUGCCUUGGAUACUGUCGGGCUUGAGUGCAGGAGAGGUAAGUGGAAUUCCCGGUGUAGCGGUGAAAUGCGUAGAGAUCGGGAGGAACACCAGUGGCGAAGGCGACUUACUGGACUGUAACUGACGCUGAGGCGCGAAAGUGUGGGGAGCAAACAG